AGGAAAGAAAAAAAAAAUCUAUAUAAUCAUGCAGCAAGCAAACAGACAUAAAAACCAUAUACACACCUAAUAAGACGGGCAAGUUGCGAGAGACACAAUACAGAUUGAAUCCUCUACUUAAAAUUUUAGCUGACAUUUAAUUCAAUAUUAGCACAAGUAGCGCCAUGCAAACAAUGAUGACAAGCAAACAUCAAUAAAUCAUCAGCCAAUCUGAACAUUAAGACUAUUAGCCUUGAGAAGAUUA
rnacentral:misc_RNA from 1 species